GGGGGCGUACUGGUUUUGAUUCGGCAGGUCGGUCAAUCGCUGCAGUGGUCUGGUAAACCAAAAGACCAAAAAACAAUAACUGACAACACUGUCAAACCUUGGAUGAUGAGCAAUGCUCGUCAAUCCGUUGCUCUUGCUUAAUUAGCCUCGAAACAGAGUCCGCCUAUUGCGGAAGAGCACGUUCAUCGGGUAGGGUUCACCCCUCUAUCCGGCGGGCGUAAUACCCUGGGUGAUAAGUGCGAAGACGUUAGCUUGCGUCCAGCAUCGAAAACUACUAGCCGUGGGAUGCGUGCUUAGGGGCAAUUCCUUGAUCGUAUCCCGAGAUCCUGAAGUGCCAUAAACUGUAGGCGCGGUUGGGUAGUCUGCCGAAGACCGGAGUUCGAUUCUCCGCGUCUCCACCA
rnacentral:tmRNA from 1 species